CCUACGGGAGGCAGCAGUGAGGAAUAUUGGUCAAUGGGCGGAAGCCUGAACCAGCCAAGUCGCGUGAGGGAUUAAGGCCCUGCGGGUCGUAAACCUCUUUUGCCGGGGAGCAGUGGUCCGGACGCGUCCGGACCGGGAGAGUACCCGGAGAAAAAGCAUCGGCUACCUCCGUGCCAGCAGCCGCGGUAAUACGGAGGAUGCGAGCGUUAUCAGGAUUUAUUGGGUUUAAAGGGUGCGUAGGCGGACUGUUAAGUCAGCGGUAAAAGCCCGGGGCUCAACCCCGGCGAGCCGUUGAAACUGGCUGUCUGGAGAUGUCGAGAGGUAUGCGGAAUGCGCAGUGUAGCGGUGAAAUGCUUAGAUAUUGCGCAGAACUCCGAUUGCGAAGGCAGCAUACCGGCGGCGAUCUGACGCUGAGGCACGAAAGCGUGGGUAUCGAACAGGAUUAGAUACCCGUGUAGUC
rnacentral:rRNA from 1 species